rnacentral:rRNA from 1 species
UACGUAGGGGGCAAGCGUUGUCCGGAAUCAUUGGGCGUAAAGCGCGCGUAGGCGGCCUUGUAAGUCCGUUGUGAAAGUCAAAGGCUCAACCUUUGAAAGCCGAUGGAUACUGCAAGGCUAGAGUCCGGAAGAGGCGAGUGGAAUUCCUGGUGUAGCGGUGGAAUGCGCAGAUAUCAGGAGGAACACCAAUAGCGAAGGCAGCUCGCUGGGACGGUACUGACGCUAAGGCGCGAAAGCGUGGGGAGCGAACAGG